AGCCUCGUUUUCGCCCGCCUCCAGGAGCCCGGAAGACCUGGGACCCGCACCUGUGAAAGGGAUUUUAGUCCUGACCCGGGCGACGAGGUGAAGUUAGGAAGACAUCGCGUUCUGGCCACAACCAACCACCCCAGGCUUUCCCGCAAAAAUGCAGUCCCCAGGAUGCCUGGGCAGCGCCUCUUUCCUGGGGUGACUUCUUCGAGGAACUGCUGUUCCAGCAAAGGAUGCACCCACAGGAGCAGCGUGAGCCCAGAUGUGCCUCUGCUGAGUGUGUACAAGCAGGACUUCGUCUGACGCGCUUUCCACAGACCCUGCUCGGAGGCCCGCGACUCACAUUAAUUAGGCUUCCGUGCCCCUCCUUACGUAUAUGUUAACCAGAUUAUUCUUUUUCUGAUACCAUGGGCUUGGGGUGGAGUAGGGACGCGCUUGUAUGAGUUCGCCGCCCCGGAAGACUAUUACACGGCAGCACUUUCAGGGGGCAUAAUGCUUUUCACGGCGUUUGUCACCCAGCUCACAGGCUUAUAUGCCCGAAGCAAGUCCAAUGCGGUACAAAGAAUCCUGUUGUUUUUUUUCCUUAGUAAAAAGUUGCUUAACUGCGGAAACUAGAGCGUGGUAAACACAGUUCUUGACUCGUAUUAAAUGUUUAAAAACGA